rnacentral:piRNA from 1 species
UAUUCCUACACAGAUGGUGAAGCCAUGCUUC